UCUUUAUAUUGUAUGUAUAUGAGCAAGUACUUGUUUUGUGUGAUUUAUAUAUUUGUGUUGUUGUAUAUUUAUAUAAUGCAGGUUCUGGAAGCAAAAGAUGUUUAUAAAGAUAAAGAAAAGCAUACUUGUCUACACCCAAGAUGAUUUGGAUGUGUUAAGGAAGGAGUGGGCAAAGUUCAUCAUCAGCAAAUACCUAUAGGGUGCAUAAUCUGGUCUAUUUUGGUGAACUUGGUGCUUUCUAUAUAUAUGUGGUAGUAAUUUGUUUUUGAACUUGGAGUUUCUAUAUAUUCGGAACAGCUAUAUGGUAGUACGUACUUUGUGCAUUUCUCAUGUUGGAAUGCUUUUGGACAUGUAAGAUUAUCUAGGAGCUUAGCUAGUUGCUUGUUUUUAGUUUAUUAUUCAGCUGUAAUAUUGUUUGUGGAAGCUUGAAUGAUAUAUAUGGAAGCUGAAAUGCAAUGUUUUAUGGUAUCAGUCAAUUUGUGCAACAGUUUCUUUUGUGAUGCUUGUGUGUGUAAAACUUGGACAACAAAGUCUGUCCACAUGAAAAUGCAACUGUUGUAUGAUUCUCAUCAAACAAGAAAGCAGAAUGCUAUAUCUAUUAUGUGAUACAACAGUCCAAAUAUAUCAGUUGUAGGUUAUUCAACGUCACACAACAGUAAAGAUAGGGAAUAAACCGUUGUAGCUUACUGAAAAAUACACAACGAUAGAAAUGAAAACCAACAGUUGUCUGAAAAGGUAAAAAUACAACGAAAAUGUUUUAUUGUUUGUUGUCUAAGUGGACUUGUCGAUGCCGCGCAUGGCAUCGAUCUGCGCAGCGACUUAUACAACGAAAGUAUUGAACUGUUGAGAAAAAUGUGAUCACACAACGGUGAUUUCCACACUUAUCUGAAGAUUCAAUCAGACAAGCCCGAGAUAUACAACGGAAAACCUAUAGUCACACAACGGUGUUCCAACAGAAGUAUGAGCAUUACGAUAGAGGGCAAGACAAGGGCAAACAACAUGACACCUCCCGGGAUAACAACCAGGGAUGUGGUUCAGACCGUCGCCAUAGUGGGCAGCGGGGACGGGACCAUCCUUAUCGGUCCCAAGAGCAGAGCCCCCAGCAGCAACAACGUCGCUCCUCCCCGUCACCCCGUUAUGAGGUCCACACUACCCUGACCACUACAUAUGAAGAUAUAUGGGCCAAGCAUAAAGACCUCAUGACACGACCCACCCCAAAUUUCAUCCUGAAACCCAGAGUAAGUCGUGCGGGGACCACCUCCAAGGAAAAUUUACCGAAAAAUCGGCUUAACCUCCCUUGAAAAUGGACUACCCUUCCUAAUAAUACCUGCAAACACUUUUGAAAAUUUAAAUCCAACCUUAAACUCCUGGAGCCUCCGUGCUCCCCAAAUCACAACACCACCCAAAUUAUUUACUAAUCUAAACAAAUCUCAUAUCCAACCAUUUAUAGGUUUAGAGCAACUCUAACAGGAAGAAAGGAAACAUAAUAAAUUAACAAACGGAAGCUAUAUGAUGACUAUGCCUCAUCCCCAUGUACGCCCGACCUCAACUAUGCAAUCCUGCAAACUGGGCAUUUUUAAAACGAAGAGCCCAAGGGAAAACAUUUGAAACAAGUUAGAGUGAGUGGACAAAAAUAAAUUAACGAAUAAAAUAUUUAUGUUUCCCUAAAUCAAUUUCCAAGGAAAAUCGAAUGCAUGCUGCAAGCGAUAAAACUUUUAUCUCAUAAAUGUCGAGCCUCUCAGGCUUUAUAAUAUAUGUAUGUAUUUACACACGUCCAUACUCCCUAUAUAAAUUCAUGGGUCUAUAUAGGGCUACUACGCUCGCGUCCAACGCUCACGUCACGUCUUAAUGCGGUGCUACACUACGCCAUUAAGGUGGACAGACGGGUGUAUAAAUAUGUGCCCAUACCCCCUAUAUGAAUUAAACACUCAUAUAGGGCUACUACACUCACGUCCAACGCUCACGUCACACCAUAAUGCGGCUAUAUGCUACGCCAUUAAGGUGGACAGACACAUAUGGCUAGCUAGCAUUUAUAUACAUACUCUCUCAUAAAUACAUAUUUAUAUCCACCGAAAAUCCCAUUUGCUCCUCGGCGGACGGCGGCGGGAGGACGGCCGGAAAAUUGGGCAGCGGGAGGAGCUCGGGGAGAGAGAAAACCGGGAAGAAAAAAAAAAAAGAGAAGGGAGAAAAUGGCUUUGGGCCUCCUCCCCCCAAACCGGUCCAACUUAAUACCCAUUUGAAAACAAACCCAACUCCAAAAAUAAAACACCCCGAAAAUAAUACCCGAAUAAAAAUUACCUUUUACUAGCUAAAAUUUACUAUUUUUACCGUUGUCAUAUUUUCUCCCACGAAUAAUUCCCCGAAAUUAAUCGUCUCUCAAAACACCUCUAGGGACCGAUUAAACUAUUACCUCAAUGAAGGAGACAGUAAAAUUCUUAUUAUAACCAAGCUAGUAAAUAAGGUAAAAAUUUAAGGGUCGGGAUGUGACAAUUCUCCCCUCCUUAUAAAAAUUUCGUCCUCGAAAUUUACAUACCUGACAAUCAAAAAGAUAGGGAUACUGCUGCCUCAUUUGCUCCUCUGAUUCCCAAGUAGCUUCCCCUACUUGAUGACUCCUCCACAGAACUUUAACAAGAGGAAAAAGAUUUGCAUCUAGCACUUGCUCCUUUAGGUCGAGAAUCUGAACCGGCUCCUCAUCAUAGGCCAAAACUUUUUUCCCAAUUAAUCGACUGCUCUCGCAACACAUGAGAGAGAUCGGCAAUAAACUUGCGAAGCAUGGAUACAUGAAACACAUUAUGUAUCCUGGAUAACUCUAGAGGCAAAACUAACUGAAACACAAGAGAGCCAACUUGAUCUAAAAACCCAUAAGGACCAAUAAAUCUCGGACCAAGCUUUUCACGUUACCAAAACGUACCACCCCUUUCCAAGGGGAUAAUUUCGAAAAACACUCAAACACUCACUUGAAACUCAUGGUCCUUCCUGCGGACAUCUUUAUAACUCUUCUGGCUACUAAGAGCUGCUUUGAGUCUAUCUCUGACUCUUUUAACCUUUUCAUUUCUCAAAGACUCUAAAUCCUUCGUUGAACUAUCACUAACGUUUGCACGUAAGUGAGUUCAGUGAUACCUGCUCCAGAGUACGAGUACCUGUAGGUAUGCACACUCUUUCCUGAGCAAUGGAAAUAGCUAACCCAAAUAAAACGCAUAAAUUUGCUAUCACCAUCGGGCUCAAAUCUCCUAACAUCACGCAACAACCUCGUCAUUACGUUGCUCACAGCUCGACAAUGAAGCCCACUUGCUAGGAAACUAAAAUUCACACAUUCCCACAUGCUCAUAGGGGUCAAAAUUAAGACCCGAUAAUUGAACAGAUUUUUAAGGAUGCACACACUACAACAAUCACUCCUAUUUCUGAGACACCUCGCAGAGUCUUUCGCGGAGCCAAAGCUCUCGCAAGUCCACAAGAUAACCUUGCUCUACCUAAAUGACCAGUCCACCAACAUAUGAUAACCUCGAUUGCCUAAAUAACAUUAUGAAAAGAUCAAUACCACGACACUUAGAUCUCUCCACCAAAACUAUUACAUUACCAUUUUAUGCACCACAAACUAGCAACUUAUGGGAAUUUCCAACUCUCUCCUGAUUCUGCUAUCUCCACUAUUAUUUACCACAAACCAGAAGAUAAUCUGAAGCAUGACUAACAUGUGGAAACUGGAUAUUCCUCCUUGCUCGCCAUAAACAAAAAACUAAUUAAUGCCCACGAAGAUUGGCACAGUCAAUUCAUGAUGCCAAACUUGACGUUGAAAUCCACAUAAAUAGAACACCUUCCUUAAGCAUUGACAAAAAUUUACAUCUCCAGCCAUGCUACUUAUUCGGGUGCAACUACGACCCCAAGAGCAGUAAUUAAAAGCACACGGCUCACGCUAGCCGUUCCAUAAGAAUGAUUCUAAAUACCAAAACCUUUGAAUCCGACAAAUACAUUUCCUUUUUUUUUUUUUUUUUUUUUUUAAUUUUACCUUUUACCUCUAACAACAAUAAAUCUGAUAGCAGAAAACAAUCUGAAAAUCAGAUAUGCUCAAGUCUCCUCCACAUCCUAGGGCCACGACUUCCCACCAAAAAGAUUCUUCGAAAACCGAGCUUGCAAUAACAUGCGACUAACAAAAGCAAAGAAAAAUUUUUAUACAAGACCCACUACUACACCUUGUGGUUCACCAACUAACGAAAACCAUGAAUUCAAGCAAGAAUCAAAACUCAUGGCUUAACUCAGCUCAAGCUCCAAAAGAAAUAAUUUAAAGCACACGAAAAGCAAGUCCUCUAACUUCGAGCUCAAAAGCUCCACAGAUCUCCGAUAUCCGCCAGAACCCGCUUCGAAAUCACACUAGAAACCUCCACUAAUCAUCCUGACACCAACAGAUAAACGCACAACCAAAAAGCAAAGACCUCCCAAACAAAAACUUGGAUCAAUGAGUGGUCCCACCACAAAACGAUCCUGAGAAGAGACGUUGAUCAACCUAUCAAUAAAUCUACUAUUCGCCAUAAUAAUCUCUUAAUAAACCUUGACUCGAAAAUCUUCUUGAGUCAACAGGGGAAAACCUUCUCCCAUAAUGCUACAUCAUGAAAUAUACCUACAAUAGAGACCAAAAUCAUCAGAAAACUUACUAUUCAUCAACUACUAACAUCCAUCAUUUCAAAAUAUAUUACCACUACCAUCUGGAUAAAAUGCUCUAAGGAUAGAAACAUAUCCAUAAUUAGCACUGCAGAAACCAGAACAUAUACCGCCAUAACCAAAAUUAUCCCAACAUGUUCCCAAUUGAUUUAUGUUGCGGAUAAAAUUGUCGGCAAAAUAGCCUUCAAUCAAGACUUAUCUAAAUUCACAUUUAGCUCUUUAUGCAGCAAUACCUUACCACCCAAUCACUAGCCACAAAUUUCCUAAAACCUUGAUUAACCCAAGACUAGGGUCCUCAACAACUCAUAUAGGUACCCCUUUGAAUUACCAUUGGAUACCUCACCUCAUCAUUUCAACUAACUUUUUCAUCAAUAGAAUACACCACUAUUUCGAACUUUCCUUUCAACUCAACUCUCUUAGAAGUCACGUAACUCAAUACCAAAAUCUCCCAUCAAUCAAUUUUUGACUCCAAUCUUGCCCACUAAAAAAAUGGACAACUCCAAGGCAUUAAUCAUCAACAUUUCACCCAACAUAUUUGCAGAAGAUGCUCACCUUAGCAUCUUAAUCUGAAACCUUAAUCUUAAUUAACCCAAUCAAUCAUUGGAUACCUGAAAGGAAUGCUAACAAGCUUUUUCGUUCCCCACUCGCAAAACAACUCCAACAAUUAAUAUCAAAGAUAUUAAAUUAAUGAACUUUGGAAUAGGUGCAAACUAUACACCUUUUCAAAACUCGAAGGAUGAACACUCAAGAGGUCAGCGUACUAAGGCAUAGUUUUAGAGAUGUAGACAUUUAUGGCACACUACUGUCCAUAAAUAAAAGAAGAACAACUACAUCACAACCCUAAUCAACACAUAGUGUCUUAAGCAUAUAAUGCUAAUAGAUCCGCCGCGGUUGGACAAUCACUCUAUAGACACUAAGUGCGACCAAGAAUAUAAGGUAGUACUAAAAAAAGAAAGGAAACGAAUAACCUAGUGCUCUGAUACCAACUGACACGACCCACCCCAAAUUUCACCCUGAAACCCAGAGUAAGUCGUGCGGGGACCACCUCCAAGGAAAAUUUACUGAAAAAUCGGCAUAACCUCCCUUGAAAAUGGACAACCCUUCCUAAUAAUACCUGCAAACACUUUUGAAAAUUUAAAUCCAACCUUAAACUCCUGGAGCCUCCGUGCUCCCCAAAUCACAACACCACCCAAAUUAUUUACUAAUCUAAACAAAUCUCAUAUCCAACCAUUUAUAGGUUCAGAGCAACUCUAACAGGAAGAAAGGAAACAUAAUAAAUUAACAAGCGGAAGCUAUAUGAUGACUAUGCCUCAUCCCCAUGUACGCCCGACCUCAACUAUGCAAUCCUGCAAACUGGGCAUUUUUAAAACGAAGAGCCCAGGGGAAAACAUUUGAAACACAUUAGAGUGAGUGGACAAAAAUAAAUUAACGAAUAAAAUAUUUAUGUUUCCCCAAAUCAAUUUCCAAGGAAAAUCGAAUGCAUGCUGCAAGCGAUAAAACUUUUAUCUCAUAAAUGUCGAGCCUCUCAGGCUUUAUAAUAUAUGUAUGUAUUUACACACGUCCAUACUCCCUAUAUAAAUUCAUGGGUCUAUAUAGGGCUACUACGCUCGCGUCCAACGCUCACGUCACGCCUUAAUGCGGUGCUACACUACGCCAUAAGGUGGACAGACGGGUGUAUAAAUAUGUGCCUAUACCCCUUAUAUGAAUUAAACACUCAUAUAGGGCUACUACGCUCGCGUCCAACGCUCACGUCACAUCAUAAUGCGGCUAUAUGCUACGCCAUUAAGGUGGACAGACACAUAGGGCUAGCUAGCUUUUAUAUACAUACUCUCUCAUAAAUACAUAUUUAUAUCCACCGAAAAUCCCAUUUUCGGUAACUCUCCAAGAGAAAUAAAAAUCGUCAAAAUUAAAAUGACGUCAAAAUGUUCCACAACAUUAAUUGUUCAUCUAUGAACUAUAGCAUGCAUUUUAUUUAAAACAAAAGUCCACUCACAACUCUAGGCAUAAGCCCGACGAAAUCCAAAUCGCCACUCCAGAGAGGUUUCCUUGAACCCUGGCACAAAUACAAAAUUAAUUUCCCAACUAAAACUCCAAUAUUUAAACAAAAUAGGCAAAAUUAACCGAGAGCCAUAACUACGCUCAUCAUUGCCUAACUUCAAUAUUCUUAAAUCGAAACGAUCCGAACUUAAAUAUCAUACUCGGCAGCCGUAAUUACAACCUCCCCAAAAAUACGACUUCGGAAAUUCAUAAACCUAUCCAAAACUCAUACAAAAAUUUCAUAACUCACUUCAACAAACUCCCCUUAAUAUUCUAAAUUUAAAACCCUAAAAAUCUUCCAAACAGUGGCGGCGGCUCCGCCGGUAGCGGCGGCCGGAGGCCGAUUCCGGCGACCUCCAAAUCCUACCAAAUUUUAACAGUAGCUUCCUCUCCACUCCCUCUACAACUUUCCUAACUAGCACAAACCCAAAAUCCAAGCCUAACUAGGUCAAACGAGCAAAAACAUCUAAAACACCCUAGAACUUCCACCUCUAAUUUCUCCUUACCUGAAGCGAACCGGAGUGAGCCCUUUUAGGGCAAGGCAGCUGGGUUGGAGACCUUCAAAACCGUACCAAGCUUGCCCGGAUUGGUGGCCGGAGGAGGGAGUUCCGGCGAAGUGAAGCUUUGGACAGUCGGACCUUUAGGGGGAGAGCACUCUUUCACGACGGAGCUAGGGAAGCUGCUACCGAUCCAGGGAGGUAGCUGGGAUGAUGGCCUACCGAACGGGACCGGUGCGGUAGNNNNNNNNNNNNNNNNNNNNAGCAGUACCCACAAACAUCUUUUAUUAGUAAGAUUUACCAGAUUCAAAAAUAAAAAAUUUGACCUUUGCUGCUGCAUUAUGAGAAAUAUGCAAGUUUUCUGUUAUGUAAUAAUCGUUGUAAGCAAAUGUUAAUAUGCUAUGCUUCUUCAGUAUAACACCAUAUAGGAGUCAGUUUCAUACACGCAAUUUAGUGUUUGGUUAGUUAGACAUUUGAUUAUGUCAAAGCUCUUUCAUAAAUUUGGUUAUCAUCAAUUGUAUUAGUUCUGCGCCCAAAUCAUAUUUACACUUUCUAUUGCUUUGCUAAUGCAAUUAUAUAUUAAUACUAAUAUUUCUUUUCUGUGCUUGAUUAAUACUUCUAUCUAAUGAUCUGAUAUGUGUUUCUCAUAUGUGAUUUGAACUUGAUUUGCUCUAAGAGCUGUGACAGUUUAUUUGAUGAUUUCAUUAGCAUAUUACAUCUAUCAGUAAUAUAUGUAUAGGUUUCUUUGGUUAUCAUUUUCAGUCAGUUCCAAGGCCUUUGUUUGAUUUCAUUAUUCUCCAGCUUUUAGAGUUAGGUCUGUGUGUUUAAACUUAAGGCAAGAACAAAACCUGCAAAUCUGAAACAUUGUUUCUGAAAUUCUGCAUCAGUUAGCUUUCAUUUGAAAACAGUACAAUUUCAUUUGGAAUUUGAAGUUGGUUUCUUCAAGAGAUUUGUAGUAGACAUCUUAAGGUUCAUUCCAAAUUUUGAAUCACUUGAAAACGAUUUGGAAGAUGAAAUUAUGAUUUUUCAAAGUUUAGGGUCUGCAUCAGGAAAUUUUGCAGAUCAGUGUUUCUGAGAUUUUGACCAGUUCCCUUUCUUUCAGAAAAUUGUAUAAAUUGGUUAGUUGUUUGAACUUGGUGUCUUCAUGAAAGUUUGACUAGAGACCUUAAUGAUCGUUUUAGAACUGGAAUCUCUUGAAAAUAAGUUUUCUAGAAUUAGUUAUGAUUUUCCAAAGUUACAGCUCAUUUGCAUUUUUUUUUUGAAAGUUACAGCUCAGUUUGAGCAUAGCUUAGCAAGUACAUGUCUUGAGGACAGUAAUGCAGUCUUAUAUAUCAGCACUUCUUUAUAUUGUAUGUAUAUGAGCAAGUACUUGUUUUGUGUGAUUUAUAUAUUUGUGUUGUUGUAUAUUUAUAUAAUGCAGGUUCUGGAAGCAAAAGAUGUUUAUAAAGAUAAAGAAAAGCAUACUUGUCUACACCCAAUAUGAUUUGGAUGUGUUAAGGAAGGAGUGGGCAAAGUUCAUCAUCAGCAAAUACCUGUAGGGUGCAUGAUCUGGUCUGUUUUGGUGAACUUGUGCUUUCUAUAUGUAUGUGGUAGUACUUUGCUUUUGAACUUGGUGUUUCUAUAUAUUCGGAACAUCUAUAUGGUAGUACGUACUUUGUGCAUUUCUCAUGUUGGAAUGUUUUUGGAUAUGUAAGACUAUCUAGGAGCUUAGCUAGUUGCUUAUUUUCAGUUUAUUAUUCAGCUGUAAUAUUGUUUGUGUCACAUCCCGACUUUUAUAUUUUUUUUACCUUAUUUACUAGCGUGUUUAUAAUAAGAAGUUUACCGUCUCCAUCAUUGAGUUAAUAGUUUAAUUGGUUCCCAGAGGGGUUUCGGGGACGAUUAUUCGUAGGAGGAAAAUAUGGCGACGGUAAAAAUGGUAAAUUUUAGCUAGUAAAAGGUAAUUUUUAUUUGGGUAUUAUUUUUUCGAGGUGUUUUAUUUUUGAGUUGGAUUGUUAUAAGAUUGGACCGGUUUGGGGUGUGAGGCCCAAAUCCAUUUUCUAUCCUCUCUUUUUUCUUCCUGGUUUCCCUCUUCCCCGAGUCUCCCGCUGCUCGGUUUUCCGGCUGUCUUUCCGCCGUCGUCCGGCCGCCGUUCGCCGCCCCUCCGGUCCCAUUCGGUUGCCCUCCGACCCAGCUACAUCCCUGGACCGGUGACAGCCACCCUAGCGCUGCCAUGAAAGAGUUCUCCCGCCUAGAACCUCGAGCAGCCCAAAGUCCUCCAUCGCCGGAACUCCCUCCUCCGGGCACAAAUCUGGGCAAGCUUGGUAUGGUUUUGUAGGUCUCCAACCCAGCUGCCUUGCCCUAAAAGGACUCACUCCGGUUUGCUUCAGGUAAGGAGAAAUUUGAGGUGGAAGCUCUAGGGCGUUUUUGAUGUUUUUGUUCGAUUGGCAUAGCUAGGCUUGGAUUUUGGGUUUGUGCUAGUUAGGAAAGUUGUAGAGCAUGAUGAGAGGAAGAUGCUGUUAAAAUUUCAUAGGAAUUGGAGGUCACCGGAAUCGGCUCCGGCCACCGCUGCCGGCGGAGCCGGCGCCGGCGCCGGAGCUGUUUGGGAGAUUUUAAUGUUUUUAGAUUUGGAAUAUUAAGGGGAGUUUAUUGAAGUGAGUUAUGGAAUUUUUGGAUGAGUUUUGGAUAGGUUUGUGAAUUUCCGAAAUUUGGUAUUUUUGGCUGUUAAUUAAUGUAGAAUCCGGCCGUAGGAUUUAAGUCGUAUUCUGUGGGAAGUUGUUUUUUCGGCUGCCGGUAUGUUCGGCGAAGUUUGAGCCGUAUUGAGUUAAGAAUGGCAAAUUUGGGCAAUGAUGAGUGUGUGGGAGGCUCACGUUUAAUUUUGCCCAUUUUGUUUAAAUAUUGGAUUUUUGGUGGGAAAUUAAUUAUAUAUUUGGAACAGGACGAGAGGAGGCCCGAGCAGAGGAAGCCUCGGAGCGUCAUCAGGCUUAGGCCUAAUUAGUGAGUGGACCUUUAUUUUAAUUGAAAAGCAUGCAAUGAAUUAUCUGUUGAUCAUGUAUUUCUUUUCCUGAAAUUUAUUUCUUUCUCGGAUAUUUGACAAUUUUCCUCCUUUGGAGAGAUCCCGAAAAUGAGAUUUUCGGUGGAUAUGUUUAUUGGAUGUUUAUGAUGAUAGUAUGUAUAUAUAAAUGCUAGCUAGCCAUACGUGUUUGAUCCGCCAUAAUGAGGUAAAUACCAUUAUGGUGUGACGUGAGUGUUAGACACAAGCGUAGUAGCCCUAUAUGAAACUUAUUUCUUAUUUGGUUUAUUUAGGNNNNNNNNNNNNNNNNNNNNAGCACUUAAUCCGGAAUGACAACUGCAUCAGUAUUGCACUCCCGUGACAGGAGCUAAUGCCAUUGAGGUUCAUGGCCAAAUCCUCACCUUGCAUGGAGGAACCCUGCGACCUCCCCCCCCCCCCCCCCCCGUCAACCUUCUGCAAAAACCCUUUAGAAAUCCAUGAAAGACAGAGAGGUGUCACCACCACCCCAUCAGCAUGGGACCAGGUCUCAUUUCAUAAGAAGGAAGAUACAAUAAGUUGCCAUCACAAUGAGCCGUUCAUAAUCAAAUGUCCAAGUGGACUACAGGUGCCACAGAGCCCUUGUGGACACAGGGCUGUAGUCAGUGUAAUGUUUGCAUAUUGCUACAGAGGACUCCAGCGUGACCGGGCUAAGUUGUACAAUAACCAUGAUCCUCUUGUCAGCUUCUCGGGCGAGAUUGUACAACCCUUAGGCUCAGACCGCUUGACAGUUUCAGUAAGAACCAAUCCCUGUCGUGCUUCCAUCACGGCACGCUUCCUCAUAGUCGAUUGCCCCUCGUCCUAUAACCUCAUUUUGGGUCGCGACAUCAUCUGGGGACUACAAUGCUUCAUUGCAAUCCACAUGCUACUCAUGAAAGUGCCUACCCCGGGAGGCAUACUCACAAUCCAGGGGGAUAGAGUCGCCAUAAAACAUUGUCACCUUAAUGCCGUUCAGCAAAGACGUGGGGCCAAUGAGAUGUUGCCACUCAGUCCCUCGGAACCCAUUGGUGAUCCCCGGGACGACCUUGAAGGGAAAGAAAAGAAGAAGCAAGUCCCGAGACCUAAGCUGGCAGAGGAAACAGAGUGGGUAUCCCUAUCACCUAGCACUCCCGAGAGGAAAGUCCGCAUUGGCACUAACCUCAAACCGGAAAUCCACCAAAAGCUCAUUACCUUCCUCCAGGAUAAACAAGCAGUCUUUGCUUGGUCCUAUGCCGACAUGCCAGACAUUUCCCCUGAUAUCAUCACACACAAGCUCAAAGACUAUCCCUCUGUCAACCAAAAAAGGCGUGCCUUUAAUCCAGAAAAGUAUCGGGCUAUCCAAGCCGAGGUCCAGCGGCUAAAAGAGAUUAAGUUCAUAUGUGAGGUUUCCUACCCAACAUGGGUCUCCAAUGUAGUCAUGGUCCCCAAGCCUAAUGGCAAGUGGCGAAUGUGUGUUGACUACACUAACCUCAACAAAGCAUGCCCCAUAGAUAGUUUCCCCUUACCACGGAUUGACCAGUUGGUUGAUUCCACAGCUGGCUACAAGAUGCUUAGCUUUUUGGACGCCUACUCGGGAUAUAACCAAAUCAAAAUGUACCCCACAGAUCAGGAACACACUACUUUUGUUACGAACAAGGGAUUAUAUUGUUACGGGGUCAUGCCCUUUGGCCUCAAGAACGCAGGAGCAACCUACCAACGAUUAGUCAAUGCCAUGUUUGAAGAAGAAAUUAGGGAAGUCAUGGAAGUAUAUGUGGACAACAUGCUGGUCAAAAGCAAGACGGAUGAUGACCACAUUGCCAAUUUAGACAAGGUUUUCACAAAGCUUCUAGCUCAUGGGAUGCGCCUCAACCCACAAAAGUGUAUUUUAGCUGUUGGCAGAGGAAAGCUUUUGGGUUUCAUGGUCAGUGAAAGAGGAAUUGAAGCUAACCUAGAAAAAAUACAGGCCAUACGUGAUAUGAUUGUCCCGGCCACCUGGAACAAGGUCCAGUGCCUCAUGGGACGCUUGGUUGCUCUGGCUCGAUUCAUCUCUCGCCUCACAUACAAGUGCAACCCAUUCUUUCAAUUGGUGAAAACCCAAUAUAAGGAAGAUGUCGCAUGGGGCCCGGAACAUGAUGAUGCCUUCAAUAACAUCAAAGCUUACCUUGCAGCAGUUCCUCUCUUAUAAAAGCCUGUCCCAAGAGAAGUAUUAUACUUAUAUUUGGCUGUUUCUGCUACAGCCAUUAGCGUUGCUCUCACACGCCAUGAGCAUGACAAUGAGCUCCCAGUAUAUUAUUGUGGCAGAGGUUUUGCAGAUCCCGAGACUCGCUACCCUGACAUUAAGAAGUUAGGUCUAGCCCUCAUCACUGCAGCGAGAAAACUCAGGCAAUAUUUCCAAGCUCACACCAUCCUAACCAACCACUCUUUGCGGCAAAUACUCCAAAAGCCUGAAACUUCAAGACACCUAGUGAAAUGGGCAAUUGAGCUGGGUGAAUUUGACAUACAUUUCAAGCCAAGAACAGCAAUAAAGGGACAGGCAGCUGCAGAUUUCAUUGCCGAGUUCAUUCCCCUAGAUCAUGACAGCCCAAAUACAAACGCCCCUCCCCCCCCCCGACGAUGCUAUCUGGGAACUCCAUGUUGACGGAUCCUCAAACAACAGGCUAAGUAGGGCAGGAAUAAUCAUCACAAACCCAGAGGGACAUUCAUACGAGUAUGCUCUCCGGUUUGAGUUCAAAGCAUCCAACAACAUAGCUGAAUACGAGGCCCUGAUAGCAGGCAUCCAGCUCUGUCGAGAACUCAAAGCCCUACAUAUUCACAUAUUCAGUGACUCUCAGCUUGUACUCAAUCAAGUGGCACGAGACUUCAAGGCCAACCAGAAUAACUUGGGAUCCUACAAAACUCUAACAGGACCUCCUGCAACACUUCACAUCUUAUAAACUCACACAAAUCCCCAAGACCAAGAACUCCAAGGCAGACGCCCUUGCGAGACUCGCCACAGCUCCUCCUGAGUCCACGCCACCAGAUGUGCACAUAGAAAUCUUGGACAAGUCUAGUAUCUCGAAAGCUUAUUCAUAAAUCUUUGCUCUUGAGACAACUAGCCAGCCCUCAUGGAUGUACCCAUAUGUUGACUUCCUCGCUAAUGGUACCCUGCCCUAGGACAAAAGAGAAGCACAGCGGUUACGCCACAAGGCUUCAUUUUACCUACUCAAAGGUGCAAGCUAUACCGUCGUGGUUAGUCAUGUCCAUUCUUGAAGUGUUUGCCCACAGAGGAAGGGCACAAAGUGUUGAAGUCACUUCAUAGCGGCAUUUGUGGAAACCAUGCGGGUGCUCGGAACCUCAUGUUCAUGGCACUCAGAGCUGGGUAUUAUUGGCCAACAUUAGAGCAAGAUACAAAGGCAGUUGUCAAAGCAUGCCUUCAAUGCCAAAAAUUUGGCAAUUUUGCUCAUCACCUACCAGUGCCACUGUCUGUCAUCAUCUCCCCAGUCCCUUUCAGUCAGUAGGGACUCGAUUUUGUGAGACGGCUACCCAUAGCCCUGGGACAACUCAAAUUUGCAAUAGUCGUUAUAGACUACAACACGAAAUGGAUAGAGGCAAAACCCCUUGCCACAAUGACAACAGAAAAGGUGAUAAACUUCCUAUGGCAUAAUCUAUACUGCCGGUUUGGGGUACCACAUGCCAUCAUCACGGAUAAUGGGACACAUUUUGAAAACGACACCUUCAGAGAAUUCUUGUUCGAACAAGGAACCACAAUCUUCUAUGCCUCCCCAGCACACCCUCAGACCAAUGGCCAGAUGGAAGCCAUAAACAAACUCAUUAAGCAAAACUUGAGGAAACGCCUGGAAGAUGCCAAAGGGUUGUGGGCCGCCAAGCUCCCGGAGGUCCUCUGGACACUUCGUACCACCCCAACAACAGCUACAGGUGAAUCUCCAUAUCUCUUGUCCUAUAGCACUGAGGCAAUGAUUCCUGUAGAAAUGGAAGUCCCAAGUGAACGUGUCAUGGCGUACAAUCCCGAGAAGAACGGCACAGGAUUGCGACUUAACAUGGACCACCUAGAGGAGCGCUGAGAUAGAGCACAUCUCAGGAAUUCCAACAAUAAGCAAAAGAUUGCUCAACACUACAACAAGAAAGUUGUUCCCGCCCCCUGAAGGUAGGUGAUUGGGUCAUGAAGGAAGUCAUUCCCCACCCCACUGGACUCAAGGCAAAGUGGGAAGGCCCACUGAAGAUAGUUAAUGCCCCGGGACUAGAUACAUUUUAUCUCCGAGAUACUGAUGGCCGCGUAUACCCCGCCCCUGGAAUGCUCGCCACCUCCACCUCUACCCCUUUUAAAUUAUUAGUCCCAAGACCCGGCACAGUAGCUAACACUUCAUCAUUUUGUGUUCUUCAGCCCGUUAGCGGCUCAAAUCAAAUGUACACUUUGCCUGUUAGCGGCCUACCCUAAAUGAAGAUGCUAUGUUUUCUCAUCAUUUUUCAACAUGCUGUAUCAAGAACACGGAACAAAAAAAAACACACAACCACAAACAAAAACAUUCAUUUAAGUAAACAAGAAAUACCACCAAGUAUCAGCUUGGACUCCUAGGCAAGUCAUAACCAACAAAUUGUUCAAAUGGCUAACCACGCCACCAAUAUUGUUUCACAAACAAACAAACAAAAAAAUUGAAACCUAACCGAACAAAUUACAAAGUGAAAAUAAUCAUUUCUCCCCAAAGGAUGCACCACCAGACUUAUUCACACUGCUACCACUCCUCGAGUUGCUCCCACACCCGCGACUUUGACUAAUGUUCACUGACACCCUCUAUCCAUAAGCAUGCUUAGAACGGUCACGUGACGUAGGUGGAGGCCUCACUGAAACAUUAGGACGCACCAAGGAGCUCACUUGUUGCGCUUCAGUGACAGGAGACUUGCUCGUUGGAGUCUUUGGCACUUCAGAACGCUGCGGCGCCACGAGUCCAGGUGCUCGAGGGUUAGUGGGUUCAAUAACAGAAGAUGCAACCUGCGACACUACCACUUGAGUGGAAAGGGACCCCUCGGGACACGGAGCCCUUAGUGGUGAAGCAGCAGCAGUCGCGAGAGGCCAAGGCGUGCCCACAGCAGGAACUUCCUUCGGGACAACAGGUGACGAAGCACGCCAAGCCUCAUGAUGUUUUUCCAACGACUGCGAGAUCUCGGCUUGCUUCUUCUGCUUUGGUGUCAUCUGCUCCUAAGUCUUCUUUACAGCAUCCCUAUUGGCAUACCACUUGCGCAUGGCCGCUUCGUUUAUCCAGCCAGCUUGGAAACCAGUCUUGCUCAACUCAUCCUGUCCCUGGUUAUAAGUGCUCCUCAGCUGCUGCUUAUACACUUCACUCUCCCGGAACACCCUUUCCCCAGCCCCGGCAGCCCUUGCACACUUCAACUUCCAAGCCUUCUCUUGCUCCACCAAGGCCUGCGUGAACCUCGUCACCUCGGCUUCCUGGGACACUACCUUGGCAAUGGCCACCUCCCCAGCUUCCACUUGCUUGUUCUUCUCCUACACAGCUUCCUUCAACUCAGCAACCUCCUUCCCGGAUGCAGCAGCCUGGUCUCGGAAGACAGCAACAUCUUGCUCCAGCUGCUCAAGACGUUACGAGAGGGCGCGGUUAUUCUCCUCCGCCUCCUUCAACUACUGACAUUUGGUUUCAGCAUGCUCCUACAAGUGAGUAACAGCCCUCUCACUCUCAGCAUACAUCAGCAACGUCGCCUGCAGACAACACCAAAACAUAAACAAAGCGACAGGGAACGAAAAUGAGCAAAUUGAACGCUACGAACACUUACCCGAGUUAACUUCUCCUUGGUGAGAGCCACACCAGCCAAGGGAUCAACCUCCUCCAAGGCAUGGAUGUCGCGAGAGCGGUGACGCAUGUCAUACGCCAUCUAUGCUAAGUAAGGCUGCACCUCCCUGGUCCCCUCUAAUGUUUGGGUGAUCUCAGCCAAACUCUCGGAGCUCUCGGAACGCCCUUCCUUGAGCAACCUCUUCGGUUGACCUUCACGCGACGACUCGACCCUCUCCUUCCUCUUCCGAGUCCUUAUCAUAACAACCUCCUCUGACCCCUGCACAAUGGGUUCCACCUCCUCAAUCACAAAGUCUUCAUCGCCAGUUUGGUGGCCAUCCACGUUCCCCAAAGAUGCAUCCUCCAUUCCCAUCGACUCUGAAACUAAUUCCUCCUCCCCUACAAGGACUUGAUCCUGGUUGCCAUCAUGGUCGCCAUCCUCGAUUUCAGUGUCUUCAACAUUCACCUCUUGGUCGCCUAAGCCCAUUGCUUUUGCCACCAAGGGAGGCAAAUAGGCAUAGUCCUCGUCCGCCAACUUCAACCUCAAAAAAUCGUCCUCACCCUCAUCAAACUCCGCCUCUUUCCCUUCGCCAGUCUCCAAGUCGAUAUCGUACCGCUUGGCAUGGUCAGCCUCGGCACACAGCCCAUCCAGUACAUCCUCGUCCGAGACCCUACCAUAGGGACCUUCCUUCUUCCGUGACCCACCAUCUCGAGGCAUCGUCACUACACUAGACAAAAAAUAAGGGUCAAGCACAGAAGAAAGCACAAAAUAGGAAAACAGUCAAAAACAAAAAUACAGAGCCGGGACCUGGGCGUAACCGAGCUGACUAUAUAUGCCAAGGCGGCAUAUUCGGUACGAGCUCCUAGACUCAAAUGCCCAUAGCACCCGGCGUAUACGACGCUCCAUCAGCUCGUUUAGCUUAUACUCUUGGGGCACUACACAAAAUCAGAAGUCAACAAGGGUAGUACAGUACAAGUAGUAAGAAAACAUGAGACACAAAACACGGUACCUAUUUUUUG
rnacentral:lncRNA from 1 species